ACAGCCGUACCAUGCUGAAUAUACUGGUUCUCGUUAGAUCACCGAAGUCAAGCAUCAUUGGGCGCGGUCAGUACUUGGGUGGGUGACCACCUGGGAACACUGCGUGCCGUU
rnacentral:rRNA from 1 species